CCACCGCCCAAGCGCCGACGAGGGUCGAGUCGACACCCAGAAGAGACGCCCAGCGGACGAGCGCGUCGUGCUCUUGUGGUGUUGCCGUCGGCACCGGCACCGCGGCGGCAGCCUCGGCCAAGAGUGUGCCCGGGGUUCGGGAUCGUCAUACCAUGGCCCUCUCCAUGUGCAGAUGCUGGCCUGGUAGAGCAUGACGUUGACGCCUCCGCCGUCCCCAAAGAGAGCGAUGCCCUCGCCCAUUUCGCUGAUGGUCUGGACGCCGCAUUGUUCCAGCAGGCGCUGCACCGACGACACACCUCGCGCAUAGGCCAUCGGCACGCGAAAGCCAUAGUAGGCCUUGGCGAUCGGAUACACUCCCAUAUUGUGGCGUGUGCGCGUGUGUGUUUCCACUCUUUGUGGGGUCGCUGUUGGGCAGGUACCUGUCGAGUUGUGUCUGCAGCCGUAUGCCGGCGCUUUCUGGUGGCUCGCGCGUCUUUUGGACAGCACGGUCACGCAGCGCGUGUCGUUUUUUUUUCAAACAAAAAAGGAAUCCCUAUGCGUCAAUGCUAAAACUCUUUUUUUUGUCAUAAAUUGGAUAUUUG
rnacentral:lncRNA from 1 species